UGGGGAAUAUUGGACAAUGGGCGAAAGCCUGAUCCAGCCAUGCCGCGUGUGUGAAGAAGGUCUUCGGAUUGUAAAGCACUUUAAGUUGGGAGGAAGGGCAGUUACCUAAUACGUGAUUGUUUUGACGUUACCGACAGAAUAAGCACCGGCUAACUCUGUGCCAGCAGCCGCGGUAAUACAGAGGGUGCAAGCGUUAAUCGGAAUUACUGGGCGUAAAGCGCGCGUAGGUGGUUAGUUAAGUUGGAUGUGAAAUCCCCGGGCUCAACCUGGGAACUGCAUUCAAAACUGACUGACUAGAGUAUGGUAGAGAGUGGUGGAAUUUCCUGUGUAGCGGUGAAAUGCGUAGAUAUAGGAAGGAACACCAGUGGCGAAGGCGACCACCUGGACUGAUACUGACACUGAGGUGCGAAAGCGUGGGGAGCAAACAGGAUUAGAUACCCGCGUAGUCCCUGAGCGGGCUGGCAAGGCGCAU
rnacentral:rRNA from 1 species